rnacentral:rRNA from 1 species
GACGAACGCUGGCGGCGUGCUUAACACAUGCAAGUCGAACGAUGAGGCCGGAGCUUGCUCUGGUGAAUUAGUGGCGAACGGGUGAGUAACACGUGAGUAACCUGCCCUUGACUCUGGGAUAACUGCGGGAAACUGUAGCUAAUACCGGAUACGACCCUCGGAGGCAUCUCCUGGGGGUGGAAAGAAUUUCGGUCAAGGAUGGACUCGCGGCCUAUCAGCUAGUUGGUGAGGUAAAGGCUCACCAAGGCGACGACGGGUAGCCGGCCUGAGAGGCUGACCGGCCACACUGGGACUGAGACACGGCCCAGACUCCUACGGGAGGCAGCAGUGGGGAAUAUUGCACAAUGGGCGCAAGCCUGAUGCAGCAACGCCGCGUGAGGGAUGACGGCCUUCGGGUUGUAAACCUCUUUUAGCAGGGAAGAAGCGAAAGUGACGGUACCUGCAGAAAAAGCACCGGCUAACUACGUGCCAGCCGCCGCAGUAA